rnacentral:rRNA from 1 species
GACGAACGCUGGCGGCGUGCUUAACACAUGCAAGUCGAACGGAAAGGCCCUGCUUUUGUGGGGUGCUCGAGUGGCGAACGGGGGAGUAACACGUGAGUAACCUGCCCUUGACUUUGGGAUAACUUCAGGAAACUGGGGCUAAUACCGGAUAGGAGCUCCUGCUGCAUGGUGGGGGGUGGAAAGUUUCGGCGGUUGGGGAUGGACUCGCGGGUUAUCAGCUUGUUGGUGGGGUAGUGGCUUACCAAGGCUUUGACGGGUAGCCGGCCUGAGAGGGUGAACGGCCACAUUGGGACUGAGAUACGGCCCAGACUGCUACGGGAGGCAGCAGUGGGGAAUAUUGCACAAUGGGCGGAAGCCUGAUGCAGCAACGCCGCGUGCGGGAUGACGGCCUUCGGGUUGUAAACCGCUUUCGCCUGUGACGAAGCGUGAGUGACGGUAAUGGGUAAAGAAGCACCGGCUAACUACGUG